rnacentral:rRNA from 1 species
UGGGGAAUUUUGGACAAUUGGGCGAAAGCCUGAUCCAGCAAUGCCGCGUGUGUGAAGAAGGCCUUCGGGUUGUAAAGCACUUUUGUCCGGAAAGAAAUCCUUGGCUCUAAUACAGUCGGGGGAUGACGGUACCGGAAGAAUAAGCACCGGCUAACUACGUGCCAGCAGCCGCGGUAAUACGUAGGGUGCAAGCGUUAAUCGGAAUUACUGGGCGUAAAGCGUGCGCAGGCGGUUUGCUAAGACCGAUNUGAAAUCCCGGGCUCAACCUGGGAACUGCAUUGGUGACUGGGCAGGCUAGAGUAUGGCAGAGGGGGGUAGAAUUCCACGUGUAGCAGUGAAAUGCGUAGAGAUGUGGAGGAAUACCGAUGGCGAAGGCAGCCCCUGGGCCAAUACUGACGCUCAUGCACGAAAGCGUGGGGAGCAAACAGGUUAGAUACCCCUGGUAGUCCACGCCCUAAACGAUGUCAACUAGUUGUUGGGGAUUCAUUUCCUUAGUAACUAGCUAACGCGUGAAGUUGACCGCCU